rnacentral:misc_RNA from 1 species
UACGUAGGGUGCAAGCGUUAUCCGGAUUUAUUGGGCGUAAAGAGCUCGUAGGCGGCCGAUCACGUGGGAUGUGAAAGCUCGGGGCUUAACCCUGAGACGCCAUUCGAUACGGAUCGGCUAGAGGUAGGUAGGGGAAAGUGGAAUUCCUGGUGUAGCGGUGAAAUGCGCAGAUACCAGGAGGAACACCGGUGGCGAAGGCGGCUUUCUGGGCCUUACCUGACGCUGAGGUGCGAAAGCGUGGGGAGCAAACAGG